AUGGGAAAAAUGAAACAAGUACAAGAAUGUAUGCAUAUCUUGCGGCUAUCAAAGUUUCAAAGUUUAAAUUUUUAUGGAUAUUUUUCCAGAGUUUCAAAGUUUCAGUUUUUAUGGUUUUUUUUCAAAUCUUGUUUGGUUUUUAAAGUUUCGAUUUUUAUGGAUUUUUCUUCAGAUCUAAUAAGUGAGUCUUGUUCUUGUUUGUGUUUUUUUGUAAAGUUUCAAUUUUUGAGGAUUUUCUUCAAAUCUAGCAAAUGGAUUUUAUUCUUGUUUGUGUUUCUUUUUAGUUUGUGUUUGGAUCGAAUUUAUAAUAUUGUUCUAAUAUUUUUUGACUUUUUUUUUGCUGUUGUAAAGGUCAUAUGUGGUGUUGUUGUGGGGAGGAAGACAUUAGAAGAAGAAUGUUGGGGUUAUUGGUUGAAACAAAGUAGAGAUUUCAUCACUCCAUGGAUGAACUGA